AAUGAACGUUGGCGGCGUGGAUUAGGCAUGCAAGUCGAGCGAGAAGUUUCCUUCGGGAAACGGAAAGCGGCGAAAGGGAGAGUAACGCGUGGAUCAUCUGCCCUCGGAUCCGGGAUAGCUGCGGGAAACUGCAGGUAAUACCGGAUAAAGUCUCCGGACCAAAGGUGAGAUUCCGUCCGAGGAUGAGUCCGCGUCCUAUUAGCUUGUUGGUGGGGUAACGGCCUACCAAGGCGAUGAUGGGUACUGGGUGUGAGAGCACGACCCAGCUCACUGGGACUGAGACACUGCCCAGACACCUACGGGGUGCUGCAGUCGAGAAUCUUCGGCAAUGGGCGCAAGCCUGACCGAGCGACGCCGCGUGCGGGAUGAAGGCCUUCGGGUUGUAAACCGCUGUCAGAGGGGAUGAAAGGUCGUGGGGUACUCUCCACGAUUUGACAGAUCCUCAGAGGAAGUACGGGCUAAGUUCGUGCCAGCCGCCGCCGUAACAC
rnacentral:rRNA from 1 species